rnacentral:rRNA from 1 species
AGUGAACGCUGGCGGUAGGCCUAACACAUGCAAGUCGAACGGCAGCACAGUAAGAGCUUGCUCUUACGGGUGGCGAGUGGCGGACGGGUGAGGAAUACAUCGGAAUCUACUUUUUCGUGGGGGAUAACGUAGGGAAACUUACGCUAAUACCGCAUACGACCUACGGGUGAAAGCAGGGGAUCUUCGGACCUUGCGCGAUUGAAUGAGCCGAUGUCGGAUUAGCUAGUUGGCGGGGUAAAGGCCCACCAAGGCGACGAUCCGUAGCUGGUCUGAGAGGAUGACUCCCCCCCCCUGGACCUGAGACCCGGCCCAGCCCCCUCCGGGGGGCAGCGGGGGGGAUUUUGGACAAAGGGGCCCAACCCUGACCCACCCUUCCCGGGGGGGUGAAGAAGCCCUCCGGUUUGUAAGGCCCUUUUGUUGGGAAAAAAAGGCCGCAGGUUAAUCCCCCGCUUUUCUGCCGGUACCCAAAGAAUAAGCCCCGGCUACCUUCGU